GACGAACGCUGGCGGCGUGCUUAACACAUGCAAGUCGAACGGAAAGGCCCUGCUUUUGUGGGGUGCUCGAGUGGCGAACGGGUGAGUAACACGUGAGUAACCUGCCCUUGACUUUGGGAUAACUUCAGGAAACUGGGGCUAAUACCGGAUAGGAGCUCCUGCUGCAUGGUGGGGGUUGGAAAGUUUCGGCGGUUGGGGAUGGACUCGCGGCUUAUCAGCUUGUUGGUGGGGUAGUGGCUUACCAAGGCUUUGACGGGUAGCCGGCCUGAGAGGGUGACCGGCCAAAUGGGGACUGGGGAACGGCCCAGACCCCCACGGGAGGAAGGGGUGGGGAAUAGUGCACAAGGGGCGGAGGCCUGAUGGAGCAACGCCGGGUGGGGAAUGACGGCCUUCGGGUGGUAAACCGCUUUCGCGUGUGACGAAGCGGGGGGAACGGAAAUGGGUAAAGAAGCACCGGCUAACUACGU
rnacentral:rRNA from 1 species